GCCAUUUUUCCAUGUAAAAAUGAACUGUUAUAGGGACCAUCUUUUGAAUUUAUGAUAAUUUAUUCAUAUUUUAAUGUACUCGGGUAGGUAAUAUUGCAGGCAUUAUAUCAGCACCAAAUAAAUGCUGUGAACCAGAUAUAUAUUAAGUGGCGAAUAACGUUUCCAAAUCGCAUUUUCUUUUGACAUAUUUUUCUUUUUUUUUGCUCUUUUUUUCACGACCGGUUUGGCCUAGUAAGUCGAUGAUCCUGGGUUUGAAUCCCGGUAAGGGCAUUUAUUUGUGUGAUGAGCACAGAUAUUUGUUCCUGAGUCAUGGAUGUUUUCUAUGUAUUUAAGUAUUUGUAUAUUAUAUAUUAUUAUGUCGUUGUAUGAGUACUCACAAAACAAGCCUUCUCGGCUUGCCGUGGGACUCACUUAAUUUGUGUAAGUAUGUCCCUAUAAUAUUUAUUUAUUGUUAUUAUUAUUGUAUGUCCGGUAACAGAACUCCCCAGGAGCACUCGGGUGUGUAAGGUCGCUACUCCCCAACUUAUUAUAAUUGUUAUUACUUACAGCAUUUUUAAGUUGUUCAUCGGACACUGAGGCCAUUGAAGUUUCAAGCUGGCGGCAUCAAAAUGGAGUACCUAGAAACCAUACGGAAAUAAUGAGGAUGCAUCGACAUAAGAAGAAUCGAACAUGGGCAAGAUAAAGUUCAAGAAAAAAGCAAAUAUAAUGUGUACUUGUGUGUAGUCAAAGAAAGUUGAAAAAUAAAGCAUAAUUAAUGGCCAUAGAAUACAGAACCGAUACACGAACAUUAAGACUAUUAAAAAUAGACAUAUAGGUUGAUCGUACUACUCGUACUAAUGUAUUUCUUUUGUUCAAUUAUAUUAUUGCAUUAAAGUUAGAUUCUCUAGAUAUAUAU